rnacentral:rRNA from 1 species
GAUGAACGCUGGCGGCGUGCCUAAUACAUGCAAGUCGAGCGAACAGACGAGGAGCUUGCUCCUCUGACGUUAGCGGCGGACGGGUGAGUAACACGUGGAUAACCUACCUAUAAGACUGGGAUAACUUCGGGAAACCGGAGCUAAUACCGGAUAAUAUAUUGAACCGCAUGGUUCAAUAGUGAAAGACGGUUUUGCUGUCACUUAUAGAUGGAUCCGCGCCGCAUUAGCUAGUUGGUAAGGUAACGGCUUACCAAGGCAACGAUGCGUAGCCGACCUGAGAGGGGGGGGGGCAACAGGAGAAAUAAACCAGGGACAAGACUCAAGGGGGAGGCGCAAGGAGGAAAUGUGCCGAAGGGGGAAAAAGCAAGCGGGACAAGCGCGGAGGGAGGAAAAAGGGUUUGGGAAGAAAAAAACUUUUUUAAGGGAGAAAAAAAAUUGUGAAAAAACAAAGGCACGUCUGAAGGAAACAUAAUAAGAAAAACAGGAAAAACACGGGC